rnacentral:tRNA from 1 species
AAGGCUUUAAGUUAAAAUCAAACUAAUAUCCUUCAAAGCUAUAAAUAAAGAAGUUUCUUUAAGCCUUA